GAUGAACGCUGGCGGCGUGCCUAAUACAUGCAAGUCGAGCGAACGGACGAGAAGCUUGCUUCUCUGAUGUUAGCGGCGGACGGGUGAGUAACACGUGGAUAACCUACCUAUAAGACUGGGAUAACUUCGGGAAACCGGAGCUAAUACCGGAUAAUAUUUUGAACCGCAUGGUUCAAAAGUGAAAGACGGUCUUGCUGUCACUUAUAGAUGGAUCCGCGCUGCAUUAGCUAGUUGGUAAGGUAACGGCUUACCAAGGCAACGAUGCAUAGCCGACCUGAGAGGGUGAUCGGCCACACUGGAACUGAGACACGGUCCAGACUCCUACGGGAGGCAGCAGUAGGGAAUCUUCCGCAAUGGGCGAAAGCCUGACGGAGCAACGCCGCGUGAGUGAUGAAGGUCUUCGGAUCGUAAAACUCUGUUAUUAGGGAAGAACAUAUGUGUAAGUAACUGUGCACAUCUUGACGGUACCUAAUCAGAAAGCCACGGCUAACUACGUGCCAGCAGCCGCGGUAAUACGUAGGUGGGCAGCGUUAUCCGGAAUUAUUGGGCGUAAGCGCGCGUAGGCGGUUUUUUAAGUCUGAUGUGAAAGCCCACGGCUCAACCGUGGAGGGUCAUUGGAAACUGGAAAACUUGAGUGCAGAAGAGGAAAGUGGAAUUCCAUGUGUAGCGGUGAAAUGCGCAGAGAUAUGGAGGAACACCAGUGGCGAAGGCGACUUUCUGGUCUGUAACUGACGCUGAUGUGCGAAAGCGUGGGGAUCAAACAGGAUUAGAUACCCUGGUAGUCCACGCCGUAAACGAUGAGUGCUAAGUGUUAGGGGGUUUCCGCCCCUUAGUGCUGCAGCUAACGCAUUAAGCACUCCGCCUGGGGAGUACGACCGCAAGGUUGAAACUCAAAGGAAUUGACGGGGACCCGCACAAGCGGUGGAGCAUGUGGUUUAAUUCGAAGCAACGCGAAGAACCUUACCAAAUCUUGACAUCCUUUGACAACUCUAGAGAUAGAGCCUUCCCCUUCGGGGGACAAAGUGACAGGUGGUGCAUGGUUGUCGUCAGCUCGUGUCGUGAGAUGUUGGGUUAAGUCCCGCAACGAGCGCAACCCUUAAGCUUAGUUGCCAUCAUUAAGUUGGGCACUCUAAGUUGACUGCCGGUGACAAACCGGAGGAAGGUGGGGAUGACGUCAAAUCAUCAUGCCCCUUAUGAUUUGGGCUACACACGUGCUACAAUGGACAAUACAAAGGGCAGCGAAACCGCGAGGUCAAGCAAAUCCCAUAAAGUUGUUCUCAGUUCGGAUUGUAGUCUGCAACUCGACUACAUGAAGCUGGAAUCGCUAGUAAUCGUAGAUCAGCAUGCUACGGUGAAUACGUUCCCGGGUCU
rnacentral:rRNA from 1 species